CAAACAGGGUCAUCCCAGAGCACAUGGCACAGAAUUGAGUCAAGACAGUUCUGGAAUAUCUCCAGUGAGAGGAACUCCACAUCCUUUCUGGGCAAUCUGCUCCAGGGUGUGGGCACCUGCAUGGAAAGUUCUUCACUUGGAACUUCCUGUGGAUCAGUCUCUGGCCAUUGCCUCUUUUCCUAAUGCUUGGCACCACUAAAAGGAGCCUCAGCUUCUUGACAGCCUCCCUUCAGGCACUUAAGAAAUUGAUGAGGUCCCAUAUCAGUAGUCUCUUAACAAGGCUGAACAGGACCAACUCAGCCUUUCCUCAUGAGACAGAUGCUCCCUUAAUCAUCUUUGAUUCCUUCCCAGACCUGCUUCAGAGCUCCAUGCCUCUCUUUUACUGAGGAGCCCAGAACUGGACACAGUAUUCCAGGCUGGCAAUCCAGUCUCACAUAUAAUGUGAGAAAUACCUUGUGUGACCUGACCUAUACAUCAAAGUGCCUACACAGAGUUCUCCUGACAGGACCAGAGACACUGCUUGCAGAAAGAUUGCUUUAUGGGCUCCAAGCUCACAGUAAGCUUUCAAAUAAGCAACUAGACCUCCACUGAUCUCCAGGAUAACUUGAACUGACAAAUUCAUGUGAAGAAUUUAAAGGAGAAGCAAAUUCUACAGUACAACAGUUGACCCGAUUCCUAUUGUUGCCAGUGUGGAUGGCUGGAGCAUGGAGUUGGGGGCACCCAGCAGCCCAGCUCCCUUCCCUCUUGGCCGGUUGCUGUCCCACACUGCUGGCCCCAGAAAGAGAAGAGGAGAG